GCGGCCGCGCUCAUCCGUCGGUAGACGCGGGCUGCGGAGGCGCUGCGGCCGUUGCGUCCGCUCGGGUGGGCACACCCUGAGGCGCCAUGGCCGUCGCGCUACCCGCGGUCGUGGAGGAGCUCCUGAGCGAGAUGGCCGCUGCGGUGCAGGAGAGCGCGCGAAUUCCUGAUGAGCAUUUAUUAUCGCUGAAGUUUGUCUUUGGCUCAUCAGCCAUCCAGGCCUUGGACCUAGUUGAUCGACAGUCCAUCACCUUAAUCUCAUCACCUAGUGGAAGGCGUGUUUACCAGGUACUUGGAAGUUCCGGUAAAACAUACAUAUGUUUGGCUUCUUGUCAUUACUGUUCAUGUCCUGCAUUUGCUUUCUCAGUGCUACGGAAGGGUGAAAGCCUACUGUGCAAGCAUCUCUUGGCAGUUUAUCUUAGUCAGGUUAUGAGGACCUGUCAGCAGCUAUGUGUCUCUGACAAGCAAUUGACUGACAUAUUUUUGAUGGAGAAGAGACAAGAAACAUAAAAGCUGUGCUUCUGUCCUCACCGUGAAUGCCUGUCUCCCUCCCUGGCACCAACCCUUGCUGCAGACUCCACGCCUCUCCCUGUGCACUACUGGCUCUGAGGACAUCCUCAAGUCUGCAUGGCCCAGAAAAAAUGAUACUCCAGCAGCCAUGAGCAAACCUACGUAAAUCUUGGUUUCUACAUACCAUUCUCCACUAAAAGGAACAAGGGCCUUUUGGAAAAUGUCUAGUUCUAAAGCUGGAAAGUACAAUGCAAGCCUGAAAGACCUUUUUGUGCCAGAAUGUAAGGAAGUACUCAAAAACUGAUGGGAACGCUCAAGCAGAAGAGAACUUUGUAGGGACUUUCCUUGACCGAGUUCGGGCAUCAAAAUGAAUGACAGGAAUGGAUUAUAACUCACUGAUUGAAAAUAAAAUUCCAUAAGUCCAUA